UACGGAAGGCAGCAGUGGGGAAUAUUGCACAAUGGGCGCAAGCCUGAUGCAGCCAUGCCGCGUGUAUGAAGAAGGCCUUCGGGUUGUAAAGUACUUUCAGUCGUGAGGAAGGUGUUAAGGUUAAUAACCUUAGCAAUUGACGUUAGCGACAGAAGAAGCACCGGCUAACUCCGUGCCAGCAGCCGCGGUAAUACGGAGGGUGCGAGCGUUAAUCGGAAUUACUGGGCGUAAAGGGCACGCAGGCGGUUAAUUAAGUUGGAUGUGAAAUCCCCGGGCUUAACCUGGGAAUGGCAUUCAAGACUGGUUAGCUAGAGUCUUGUAGAGGGGGUAGAAUUCCAUGUGUAGCGGUGAAAUGCGUAGAGAUGUGGAGGAAUACCGGUGGCGAAGGCGGCCCCUGGACAAAGACUGACGCUCAUGUGCGAAAGCUGGGGAGCAAACAGGGAUUAGAUACC
rnacentral:rRNA from 1 species